rnacentral:lncRNA from 1 species
AAAAGCUGGCCAUGUGAGCCAGCAGCGGCAACCCGCUUGGGUCCCCUUUCACACUGUGGAAGCUUUUUUCUUUUGCUUUUCAUAAUAACUCUUGCUGCUGCUCACUCUUUGGGUCCACACUACCUUUAUGAGCUGUAACACUCACUGCAAAGGUCUGCAGCUUCACUCCUAAAGUCAGUCAGACCAUGAACCCACCAGGAGGAACAAACAACUCCAGCCACCUUUAAGAGCUGUAACACUCACUGUGAAGGUCUGUGGCUUCACUCCUGAAGUUAAGCAAGACCAUGAACCCACUGGAAGGAAGAAACUCCGGACACAUCUGAACAUCUGAAGCAACAAACUCUGGAAACACCAUCUUUAAGAACUGUAACACUCAUCGCAAGGGUCUGCAGCUUCAUUCUUGAAGUCAGCUAAGACCAAGAACCCACCGGGAGGAACCAAUUCUGGACACAUUUUGGCACCCAACGUGGGGCUAUCAUCUAUCACCAAAUGGAUCGAGGCCAUUGAGCUACAGAUGGUCUUACAAAUGGAACCCCAAAUGAGCUCAACUAACAACUUCUACCAAGGACCCCUGGACCAACCUGCUGGCCCUUUCACUGGCCUAAAGUGUUCCCCUCUGGAGGACAUUAAAACUGCAGGGCCCCUUCUUCACCCCUGUCCAGCAGGAAGCUGCUAGAAUGGUCAUUGCCCAAUUCCCAACAGCAGUUGGGUUGUCCUGUUUAGAGGGGGGAUUGAGAAGUGAAGCCAGCUGGGCUUCUGGGUCAGGCGGGGACUCAGAGAACUUUUCUGUCUAGCUAAAGGAUUGAAAACACACCAAUCAGCACUCUGUGUCUAGCUAAAGGUUUGUAAACGCACCAAUCAGCACUCUGUAAAAACGCACCAAUCAGCACUCUGUGUCUACCUAAAGGUUUGUAAAUGCACCAAUCAGUACUCUGUAAAAACGCACCAAUCAGUGCUCUGUGUCUAGCUAAAGUUUGUAAACACAUCAAUCAGCACUCUGUAAAAAGGGACCAAUCAGCACUCUGAAAAAUGGACCAAUCAGUGCUCUGUAAAAGGGACUAAUCAGCAAGACAUGGGCGGGGCCAAAUAAGGGAAUAAAAGCUGGCCACCCAAGCCAGCAGCGGCAACCUGCUCGGGUCCCCUUCCAUGCUGUGGAAGCUUUGUUCUUUCGCUCUUUACAAUAAAUCUUGCUGCUGCUCACUCUUUGGGUCCACGCUACCUUUAUGAGCUGUAACACUCACUGCAAAGGUCUGCAGCUUCACUCCUGAAGUCAGCAAGACCACAAACCCACCGGAAGGAACAAACAACUCUGGAC